GAUAAACGCUGGCGGCGUGCAUAACACAUGCAAGUCGAACGAAGUGGCGAACGGGUGAGUAACACGUGAGUAACCUGCCUUACACAAGGGGAUAGCCUUUGGAAACGAGGAAUAAUACCCUAUAGUGUAAGAUGGACUUGCGUCUGAUUAGCUAGUUGGUGAGAUAAAGGCCCACCAAGGCAACGAUCAGUAGCCGGCUUGCCACAGUGGACGGCCACAUUGGGGCCGGGAUACGGCCCAAACGCGACUGGAGGCAGCAGUGGGGAAUUGUGCACAAUGGGGGGAACCCUGAUGCAGGGACGCCGGGUGAUUUGGAAGGCCUUCCGUUUGCAAACCGCUUUCAGCCAUGACGCGGUAGUGGCAGAAGAAGCACCGGCUAACUACGUGCCAGCCGCCGCGGUAAUAC
rnacentral:rRNA from 1 species